CUCAGUGGAGCACUGACCAAGGCAGCACAGGCAAAGCUGCUCUGGGCUGGCGGUGAGGUGGUAAUGCUCUUGUGGCGCUGUUUGUGCAUGGGCUUCUGUUCACCUUUGGCUCCAUUUAAUCUCUUGUUUGGCAAAACAACACAGUGCUCCUCUCCUUUGUUACUUGAACUAGCUCCAAAGACUGCUAAAGGCCAUGGGAGAGCCAGGGAAGUGUCCUGGCAGCCCUUGUGCUCUGGCUGCCCGGAGGCCGUGCUGCAGGUACUCCACAGAAAGGCUCGGUGCCUCUAGCUGUGCUCCUCAGCCCCUGGGAGCAGGGCAGGGGAGCAGCACACCUUCUCUGCACCCAUCUCCAGAGGCUCUGUGGCAGCGUGGUAUAUCCCAGUGACACCACCGAUGGGGCAAGGCCAGCCCUUCAAAGCUGGGGAGCCUAACAAGCUCCAGAAAACAUCCCCACUGUUUCCCACAGGGAGCAGCAAAUCUGACUAGCAGACAAAAGCAAAUGUGGUUACAUCUAAAUACUGGCAAUUUCAACAGAGUGGGACAGGAUUCAUGAAAAUCUUUUUCGAGAAUCAUUACAGGCUGCACAGGGGUAACAGGAAAUAAAGCUUGUCUUUAGGGUUCUGCUGCUGUAGGAGAAUGGAAACCAAAAUUUCACUUGCCCCAAACCGGUUCAUACUUGAAUUAUGGCAACUCAGACUUCUCCUCAUAAACAUGCCAGAACGAGUGUGAUGAUUCAGCUUACUGUGGUUUUAUGUCCUAAAGUACUGGUCCCUUGCCACUACUGCUUUUGAGUUUGAAAUUGCUUGUGCUAUUAUCUCGAUUAUUUUUUUAAUUAUUUAUAUAGGCAGUGUGGGAAAAGCAAUGAGAAUGAUUACACUUGAAAUGAGAACUCUGUUUGAAUGAGUUUUUGAGUCACUUACACUGUGCCUAAACUACACCAUCAGGCAAAUAGAGGAAAACUCCCAAAUGGCACAAAGCUUUGGCCUCUACUUCCAGAACCACGUCAGCCUUGGGAUCUCCAACCAAAAUGUGGAGGAGUGUGGCAGGGCUCCAGUGCUCCCAACUGCCUCCUUUCUGCCUCAGAAGAUCAGUUUUCUUCUCCUGCAGUCAUAAGACCAAGGGUCUGGCUGAAGAGCAACUGGAGUGAAAAAAAUGCUGUAUGUGAAAAUUUAUACAUUUGUUCUCAAAGAUGACAAUGCAGCAAGUGCUUUUAUCCCAAUAAUGUGGGUUUGUUAGGAUGCCCUGAAUGUCUUUGGAGACCAGCAGAUUCUCUACUGAUCCUGCCCUGCUUCCAGAAGUAUUUCCCCUUCUUCCCUGAUAAAGUUGCUUUGGCACUGACUUCCACGAACCUUAGACCGGAGAUCAGAAAUUACUUUCCAGAUCAUAACUGGAUAGUGAAGCUUUAAAAGAGAACCAAGUCCACUAGAAUUUCAGUCUGGGCCCUGAUUCCCCAUAUUCAUUCUAAGCCUACAUCUACCUGCUCUUCCCUUUUCUGUAUCCAUUUUCUAAGAAGAUGCAGCAGCUGGGUAUUACAGUGGCAGAGAAGGACACUUGGUUUCUUCUACCUUUCCUGACAAUAGAAGGAUAAGAAAAACUCAACAACACAGAAUUAUGGCUAAAACAGAUGCCCAGAACUGAAAUGCUUUUUCUCCCAGCAGGGCUAAAGCUCAGCACAACAGUAAAAUUGCGAGAGCAUAGCCUGGUUCAGCUUUUAAGCACUGCAGAGGGCUAUAAGGAUACCUAAGCUGCACAUAAUCUUGCAAAGUAGGAAACAGCUGACUUUAAGGUAAGCAAGAAUGAGUUAAAGUUUAAAGAAACACUGAUUCAAGUCCAUUCUUACCUAAUUCAACUACUUGAUAGAGCAGGCAUAACGUAGCCAACUGUAAGUAAGUCCUGCCACCUCAGAUUCGAUUAAGCUGCCCAGGGUAAUUAAGACAAAGUGUUUAAGAGCGAUGGUCCUUGUAAUACUUAGAAGAUCAAAGAAUCAAGUAGAUAAGAUAGAAAUGAGUACAAAUUAUUUUGAAUCUUUACUAAUAUAACUCCCUUUCUGAAAUCUUCUCUUUGCUGCUUAAUAUGUAAAAUCCUCUCUUAGAAAUGAAUGUGACAGUUCUUGUGAUAGUUCUGCAGACGCUGGAUGUAGCGCAUGGCUGCGCAUGGAUUUUGGAGACAUCCAUGGUGGGAAAAUACUGCAUCUCUCAUGCAGUCUCCGGUUACCAAGGCAAAGGCAGUUAAGGCACAAAAAGCAAAAUGAGUAAGUUGUUCUUCUCAAGCAACCACUGCAUUCUCAGCUGCACUUCAUUUGCUGGAAACCUCCUCCACUUAUCACUGCGCUUUCAGAUGUCCCCAGACCUACAGCCUUACCGACAUCUCCAGCUGCUGGACUUCCAGGCCUUGAGAUGCCAUAUGUUGGGUCUUGUGACAGAAGAGUUCAUAAUCCACUGGAGCAAGGCUGACCUGUGAGCAGACAUGGGUGCACACAGGGAAGGGCUGCCCCAGCAGUGCUCCCGUGAGCACAGGGCUGCGGUAGGGAAGCAGCUAGGCGGGGCUGUGAUUGCCCUUCUUUCCCAGCAGCUUCUGUACCCAUCUCAGCUGGCUGAUGGUUGUAGGCCAGAGUAACAUGCGUCUGGUGUGUGGGAUACUGGAAAAAUGCUGCAACACUUCCCUUUUAUGGGGUCUGCGUAUGGAUCUAGAGGCUUAACAUUAGGUGGCCAAAUUUAUGAUGUGUUGUAUAGGUGCAGUGUUAGGUAACUGGAGAGGAAAUCACAGUGCAAGUAAUGCACUGUAUUAAUUUAGGACUAGUUAACAGCAACUAAUUUAAAACAAUUAUAAGGACAAGCAGACAUCAGCUAUAGCAUUUAUACAGAUGCAAAGACAUCUGCCUCAGUGCAGAGGUUACCCUUUUAAAAGCAGGAAGAAUCCAAGUUUAUGAAAGAUGGGGUGGGGAGUGUUAGCGUUAUUUGUAAUGGUAUUGUCAGUGUUUCUUGUCUCAAGUUCUUAGAAAGAAAAUCCUUCAGACAAUGGAGAAGAUGGAAGAGUCAACUCUAAGCAAUUCCAGGUACCUUAAAGCUAACAGGAAGGGCCCCUCAGUGCUGCUUUCCGGCCUUUGGUGGCCCAGGGUUGGAAUUAAACGUGCAGAAGUUUACCCUAAACAAACUUGCUGCAGGGCUUACACAUGCACAGUUAGACUUUUCUGAAUAAAGUCACCAUUCAUGUUAAUGUUUGUGUUAAAAUACUGACAAGCAUUUUCCUUUUCCUCGAAGGAAAUUUGAAUCCAUGACCUGCAGUAACAGGUAUUUCUAAUGCUUGAUACAUCAAAAUGGUUCUGCCAGCCCUCUGCCUAACAGUGCACAAAGUACAGCUUUGCAGGCCUCUGUCCUUCUCGGUCCCAGCACAUUUCAGAUUCUCUUCCCAGGCACUAAGUCUCCAUGAACUCUACUUUAGUCUUUGAUAACUUUAUUUUACCUUAAGACAAAACGAAGGCAGGAGCAGAAAAGAAAAGCUAAAGUAGAGAAACGUUAACUCCCACAUGCUGGUGCUGUUGGUAUCCCUGCAGUGAUCCAGAUGCUGUCAUGCCAGCCAAGCAGCCUCUGCAUUGCCUGCAAUGACAUCUUAGAUUGCCGCAGAGGCAAAAGGACGGAUUUAAUCAAUGACAGCAGCACUGCAGUCUGUCCUUACACUGUGAAACACAGGCUCCCAGCCCUGGUUUGCAUGUAUUCACUGCUAGCCAGGAGAUUUAAAAGUGUGAAAAUUUAGGGCUACUAAAAAUCCACCUUGUGUGUUCUGAACAACCUCCCUGGUUACUGUUUUUCCCCCAAACACUGGAAUAUUCUAUUUCCCUAACUACAGUUUUGCUCCAGGCUUUUUCAUUUAAAUGGCUGUAGUCUUAUGUUACUUGUCAGCUUCAGGAGACAAUCACACAUGCAAAAUUUUUGUCCUGUCAGCUGGUAGUGGUUUUCAAAACAGGAUGCCUAUUUUUCCCCCCAUUAUUUGCAACAGUAGGACACAGAAGUCUGAGCUUUUGUUUUCAGUUGGUUAUGCAGGUUCAACCUGGUGAAUCAUUCUUCCUGCAGCUACAUUUCCAGGAAAAGACAAAGGCCUGGCUCUUCUCCAAGAUAUCCAAGUCAGAUCAGAAAGCACUCCUUCUCCCACAGCUGGGACACUUUCUAAGAAGGGAGAAAUUGAUAAAACACAUCCCAGAGCUGGUGUCAUCACCCUGCAGACAGGCAAGGAGGUGCAUGGCCUUGGAAAGGCAUGUGCAGUACUAAGUCAGGGUGAAGAUAAUAGCAGAGUUUACUGGAUUUAAGAUUCUUGGCCCUGUGAAACACAAGCAUGUGCAAGGAGCCAUUCACCAUUUCUGGGACUGAUGGUUACUGUGAAGCUGGAUGGUUUCUGGAAAAUCCUACAAUUUAAUUUCAAGCACUUUAGACUCUCAUCUUGUUGCAGUUGGUGUGGACAAGAACAUAGCCUUGGAGUUGGGAAUUUUUCAAGAGCUGUUAUUCAGAUAGAAGCUGGUAACUAUGGUUUCAGACGUCUCCUCUCAGGGAUGCUGCUGCUCGCAGAUGAAGGGAGGCCUGGUUUUUCAUGAUGAGGCAAAGGGCUAUGGGCUUGUGUGGUUGUGAAUGCAAGCACCGAGCUUUCAGAGAGGGAGUUAAAUAAAAACAUGCACAAAUCUGCCUACACGUAACCAUUGCAGGAAAUGUGAA